rnacentral:sRNA from 1 species
AUUGCUGCCGUUGCUGCUAACAUAUUACAAGGGGUGCCUAAUUCCAGUAACUUGUUACAGGACAUCCUUAGAUCUUCAUGUUCUGUAAUCAGCAGGUAAAGGUGAUGCAGGUUCUGAAUGCUGAUGCCAUUGUUGUGAAGCUGAACUCAGGCGAUUACAAGACGAUUCACCUGUCCAGCAUCCGACCACCGAGGCUGGAGGGGGAGAACACCCAGGAUAAGAACAAGAAACUGCGUCCCCUGUAUGACAUUCCUUACAUGUUUGAGGCCCGGGAAUUUCUUCGAAAAAAGCUUAUUGGGAAGAAGGUCAAUGUGACGGUGGACUACAUUAGACCAGCCAGCCCAGCCACAGAGACAGUGCCUGCCUUUUCAGAGCGUACCUGUGCCACUGUCACCAUUGGAGGAAUAAACAUUGCUGAGGCUCUUGUCAGCAAAGGUCUAGCCACAGUGAUCAGAUACCGGCAGGAUGAUGACCAGAGAUCAUCACACUACGAUGAACUGCUUGCUGCAGAGGCCAGAGCUAUUAAGAAUGGCAAAGGAUUGCAUAGCAAGAAGGAAGUGCCUAUCCACCGUGUUGCAGAUAUAUCUGGGGAUACCCAAAAAGCAAAGCAGUUCCUGCCUUUUCUUCAGC